rnacentral:rRNA from 1 species
AUGAAUUUCCCCGUCGAUGCACACCACCCAUCCAGCAAAGCAAAACAGAAACAAGAACGUGCGGACGGGUGGGCGCGCGCGUCACGCGCCGGGGCUGGUCUUCUUGCCCAUCUCGUGGAGGCCGGCGCCGGCGCCGACGCCGCCGCGGUGGAGCCUGCACCGGAACGACCCGGCGUGCGUCGUCGGCGAGCAGAGGCACGCCCGUGGGCUCGCCAGCAGGUGCGCGUGCUUCGGCGCCUGCGACGCCGCCUUGGGCGUGGUCACCAUCACCGCCGGCGCCUUCCCGCCGCCCUUGCCCGCGCCGGCGUGGGCCAUGUGGAGGUUGGGGUGGUGCUUCUUCAACGGCACCGCGAUCUUAUUCGCCGCCGCCGGCGUCUGCAGCUGCUCCUCCAUGCUGCCCCCCAUCGACCGAGCGACGACGACGGCAAUCUCGAUCGACCUCUACCAUUCCAACGAAGGUAG